rnacentral:antisense_RNA from 1 species
AGAGACAAGGAAAUGCUGUCACCGCUGUUAACACGCACGUGGAGGGAAGACCUGGGUUUUAGUCCUGUCUCCAUCAACCUCAAGAAAUGGGACCUCAUGGAAGGGAGGGGAGGCAAUGCCGAGGAUGUGCUCCUGAGCAGGUGCCACAAUUCUUCACCUGUAAGGCUGAUCUAAGAAGAUUCCUAAUUAUCAAUUGAGAGCAGAGAUAUUCCACUUCCAAUUACAUGGCCCUGCCUGCUCACUCUUACUUCCUAUUCACACUCUCUUGGAGACCACUUUGUGAUUCUACCAAAUUCUAUAGGAGAGGUGACAACCCCAAAGAGAAGGCUCUAGAAAGAUGACAUUUGGAAAUGUGUACGCUAGUGUCUGCUGGCUCCUCCUGAGCCACUUUUACUCUGUGAUUGAGAUGAAAGGCCACCUAACUGCCUAAAUCACCACAAAGGGACAAACUGGUAUCUCAGAGCACUCAGCAACAAAAACAAGAAAGCUAAGCCUCUGCACUGCAAUGUGGCAGGGCUUCUGGCUAAGUAUAGCAAGCAAUUCUGAUGUGGAGACAAACAGCAGCAAUGGGAAUGAUAUGCCAAUGAAGGAUUCCAACAGUUGGGUCUGCAAGUGUGCUUGUCCUGUGACACAAACAGCCUAGACAUCUCAGCACUGCUUGGAGCUGCUCAUUGGGGGAGCCUAAGAAACAUCAGCCCUUUCACAACCUCUUGCUCCUGAGCAGAGCUCAUCUCCCAAGAGCACAUCAGCCCGCAGCCCAGUCUGAUGAGAAGCACAGUAUUCCCCUGUGCCAGUGGCAGCCUCAGAACAUCCUGAAAGAGCGCUUCCUAGACACGCAGUGGAAGCCAUGACUUCCCCUAAGCUGCCGGUGCUGCCUCUGAACUCAUGUGGAGGUUCUUUUUUCAGUGUCCCC